CAGCAAGCCAUGCCGCCGCGCCGGAUUUUUCCCGCAGUCUCCAUCGCCGGGGAGCGGUUUCUGUCCGGCUGCAAGCCUUGCACAUGCAGAAGAUGGUGGAGUCUCAUCCUGCAGUUUCCAUUUCUGUUGGAACACAUAUUUUAGUGAAACAUCCAACCUUGAUUUAAAGACUCCAAGAGACAGGAAAUCCAUCAGUUCCCUGGCUUGGACAGAGAGGUGCUGACAAAGAGUGAAGAAUCUGUUGAUAGUAACAGUCCCGGACCUGGAGAGUCUCCUGCUCAAUACAGGUGUUCAACAAGU